rnacentral:misc_RNA from 1 species
GGACGUUCAAUCUUUUGCUGUUGACGCCAGAGAUAGUGGGACAGUCGUUUGCUUGCGUGUUGUAUGUCAUUCGGAACGCACAGCAAAGCUGUUACGCCCGCUAGUCGAGGAGCCAAACACACAUUUUCAUUUUGGGAUGGGUAGGCUUCCGGCAAGACGACCUGGUACGGGGAAGGCUAACCUGUUGACGACAGCAGCAUGCUGAUCCCGUGGCGAGCUUGCAAAGGGCGACCUUUGUGCAGCCGUCGUAACGCACGGAAAGGCGUCGGCUGACUCUCUGAGUCGGCUUAAGGGACGUGCUAAUCCCUUCCGAAAGGAAGCUCAGAACAGUAGCACCCAUUCUGUGAUGGUUCUGAGGGGUGUGAGUGUGCUUGGAGGAAAUGCCAUGCACAGCCCGGUAUUUGUGAAGGAUGGAAGUGAUUGGUGAGCCAGAUCAUUUCCUCUUCUCUGUUAUG